ACUUAUAGCAGUUGUUCUUGAACCUUACAGGGUAUUAGAACAAUUUGACUUGGAAGCUAAGCAGGGUUGGGCCUGGUUAGUACUUGGAUGGGAGACCACCUAGGAAGACCAGGUGCUAUAGGCG
ensembl:rRNA 5S_rRNA 5S ribosomal RNA